UGGGGGAUCGUCUAACGGCAGGACAACGGGCUCUGAACUCGUUUAUCUAGGUUCGAAUCCUAGUCCCCCAGCCA
rnacentral:tRNA from 2 species